AAGUCGUAACAAGGUUUCCGUAGGUGAACCUGCGGAAGGAUCAUUAACACGUUGUUUUCUCGUUUCCCACGAGAAAACUAACUUUAUCCACCCCAAAUAUGAACGAACUAUGGUUUUUUCUACCAUAUUCCAAUUCUUAUUUUUUUUUUAAACCCCAAUUUAUCAAAUUGCCUGAUAUCAAAACCUCAGAUUUUUUCUGAGUCGUUGAAAAUAAUUGUUAAAACAACUCUUAGCAACGGAUAUCUUGGCUCUC
rnacentral:misc_RNA from 1 species